rnacentral:rRNA from 1 species
AGGGCACCACCAGGAGUGGGGCCUGCGGCUUAAUUUGACUCAACACGGGGAAACUUACCCGGCCUGGACACUGGAAGGAUUGACAGAUUGAGAGCUCUUUCUUGAUUCAGUGGGUGGUGGUGCAUGGCCGUUCUUAGUUGGUGGAGCGAUUUGUCUGGUUAAUUCCGAUAACGAACGAGACUCUAGCCUAUUAAAUAGGCUCUCGGCUUUUAAACGCCGGGAGGACUUCUUAGAGGGACAGGUGGCGGUUCAGCCGCACGAAAGAGAGCAAUAACAGGUCUGUGAUGCCCUUUGUUGUCCGGGGCCGCACGCGCGCUACACUGAAGAGAUCAGCGUGCUCUACGUUCCUGCUCCGACCGGAGUGGGGAACCCAGUGAACCUUCUUCGUGAUUGGGAUAGAAGAUUGUAAUUAUUCUUCUUGAACGAGGAAUUCCCAGUAAAUGCGAGUCAUAAGCUCGCGUUGAUUACGUCCCUGCCCUUUGUACAUACCGCCCGUCGCUACUACCGAUUGAACGAUUU